UACGUAGGGCGCAAGCGUUGUCCGGAAUUAUUGGGCGUAAAGAGCUCGUAGGCGGUUUGUCGCGUCUGCUGUGAAAACUCGAGGCUCAACCUCGGGCUUGCAGUGGGUACGGGCAGACUAGAGUGCGGUAGGGGGUGACUGGAAUUCCUGGUGUAGCGGUGGAAUGCGCAGAUAUCAGGAGGAACACCGAUGGCGAAGGCAGGUCUCUGGGCAUUAACUGACGCUGAGGAGCGAAAGCAUGGGGAGCGAACAGG
rnacentral:rRNA from 1 species